GUUAUAGGGUCAAGCGAAUAAGUGCAUGUGGUGGAUGCCUUGGCGAUCACAGGCGAUGAAGGACGUAGUAGCUUGCGAAAAGCUGCGGGGAGCUGGCAAACGAGCUUUGAUCCGCAGAUGUCCGAAUGGGGAAACCCGGCCCGUAUGGGUCAUCCCUUGCUGAAUACAUAGGCAAGGGAGGCGAACGCAGUGAACUGAAACAUCUAAGUAGCUGCAGGAAAAGAAAUCAACCGAGAUUCCCAAAGUAGUGGCGAGCGAAAUGGGAACAGCCUUGUACUCUUUAGCAGUAUUGUUAGCGGAACGGAAUGGAAAGUCCGGCCAUAGUGGGUGAUAGCCCCGUACGCGAAAACAGUAUUGUGGAACUAGGUGUACGACAAGUAGGGCGGGACACGUGAAAUCCUGUCUGAAGAUGGGGGGACCAUCCUCCAAGGCUAAAUACUCGUGAUCGACCGAUAGUGAACCAGUACCGUGAGGGAAAGGCGAAAAGAACCCCGGGAGGGGAGUGAAAUAGAUCCUGAAACCGCAUGCAUACAAACAGUCGGAGCCUGGAAACGGGUGACGGCGUACCUUUUGUAUAAUGGGUCAGCGACUUACAUUCAGUGGCAAGCUUAACCGAUUAGGGAAGGCGUAGCGAAAGCGAGUCCGAAUAGGGCGUUCAGUCGCUGGGUGUAGACCCGAAACCAAGUGAUCUAUCCAUGGCCAGGUUGAAGGUGCGGUAACACGUACUGGAGGACCGAACCCACUAACGUUGAAAAGUUAGGGGAUGAGCUGUGGAUAGGGGUGAAAGGCUAAACAAACUUGGAAAUAGCUGGUUCUCUCCGAAAACUAUUUAGGUAGUGCCUCGUGUCUCACCUUCGGGGGUAGAGCACUGUCAUGGUUGGGGGGUCUAUUGCUGAUUACCCCGCCAUAGCAAACUCCGAAUACCGAAGAGUGCAAUCACGGGAGACAGACAUCGGGUGCUAACGUCCGGUGUCAAGAGGGAAACAACCCAGACCGCCAGCUAAGGUCCCUAAGAUUGGCUAAGUGGGAAACGAAGUGGGAAGGCUAAAACAGUCAGGAGGUUGGCUUAGAAGCAGCCACCCUUUAAAGAAAGCGUAAUAGCUCACUGAUCGAGUCGUCCUGCGCGGAAGAUGUAACGGGGCUAAGCCAGUCACCGAAGCUGCGGAUGCACGUAAGUGCAUGGUAGGAGAGCGUUCUGUAAGCCUGUGAAGGUGUCUUGUAAAGGAUGCUGGAGGUAUCAGAAGUGCGAAUGCUGACAUGAGUAGCGAUAAAGGGGGUGAAAGGCCCCCUCGCCGUAAGCCCAAGGUUUCCUACGCAACGUUCAUCGGCGUAGGGUGAGUCGGCCCCUAAGGCGAGGCAGAGAUGCGUAGCUGAUGGGAAGCAGGUUAAUAUUCCUGCACCGUCGUAUGAUGCGAUGGGGGGACGGAUCGCGGAAGGUUGUCCGGGUGUUGGAAGUCCCGGUCCCUACAUUGGAGAUGGCACUUAGGCAAAUCCGGGUGCGUGAUUCAAGGGUGUGGGGCGAGCGACGUUAGGUCGCGAAGCAAUUGGAAGUGGUUCCAAGAAAAGCCUCUAAGCUUCAGUCAUACGAGACCGUACCGCAAACCGACACAGGUGGGCGAGAUGAGUAUUCUAAGGCGCUUGAGAGAACUCGGGAGAAGGAACUCGGCAAAUUGGUACCGUAACUUCGGGAUAAGGUACACCCUUGUAGUUUGACUGGCUCGCGCCAGAAGGAUGAAGGGGUUGCAAUAAAAUGGUGGCUGCGACUGUUUAAUAAAAACACAGCACUCUGCAAACACGAAAGUGGACGUAUAGGGUGUGACGCCUGCCCGGUGCCGGAAGAUUAAAUGAUGGGGUGCAAGCUCUUGAUUGAAGUCCCGGUAAACGGCGGCCGUAACUAUAACGGUCCUAAGGUAGCGAAAUUCCUUGUCGGGUAAGUUCCGACCUGCACGAAUGGCGUAACGAUGGCCACACUGUCUCCUCCCGAGACUCAGCGAAGUUGAAGUGUUUGUGAUGAUGCAAUCUCCCCGCGGCUAGACGGAAAGACCCCAUGAACCUUUACUGUAGCUUUGCAUUGGACUUUGAACCGAUCUGUGUAGGAUAGGUGGGAGGCUUUGAAACCGGGACGCUAGUUUCGGUGGAGCCGACCUUGAAAUACCACCCUGGUUUGUUUGAGGUUCUAACCUUGGCCCGUGAAUCCGGGUCGGGGACAGUGCAUGGUAGGCAGUUUGACUGGGGCGGUCUCCUCCCAAAGUGUAACGGAGGAGUUCGAAGGUACGCUUGGUACGGUCGGACAUCGUACCUAAAGUGCAAUGGCAAAAGCGUGCUUAACUGCGAGACCGACAAGUCGAGCAGGUGCGAAAGCAGGACAUAGUGAUCCGGUGGUUCUGUAUGGAAGGGCCAUCGCUCAACGGAUAAAAGGUACUCUGGGGAUAACAGGCUGAUACCGCCCAAGAGUUCAUAUCGACGGCGGUGUUUGGCACCUCGAUGUCGGCUCAUCUCAUCCUGGGGCUGUAGCCGGUCCCAAGGGUAUGGCUGUUCGCCAUUUAAAGAGGUACGUGAGCUGGGUUUAAAACGUCGUGAGACAGUUUGGUCCCUAUCUGCCGUGGGCGUUGGAAUCUUGACGGGGGCUGCUCCUAGUACGAGAGGACCGGAGUGGACGUACCGCUGGUGUACCUGUUGUCUCGCCAGAGGCAUCGCAGGGUAGCUAUGUACGGAAGAGAUAACCGCUGAAAGCAUCUAAGCGGGAAACUCGCCUGAAGAUGAGGAUUCCCUGGAGACUUGAUCUCCCUGAAGGGUCGUUCGAGACCAGGACGUUGAUAGGCUGGGUGUGGAAGCGCAGUAAUGCGUUCAGCUAACCAGUACUAAUUGCCCGUGCGGCUUGAUCCUAUAACC
rnacentral:rRNA from 1 species